rnacentral:rRNA from 1 species
UAGGGANUCUUCGGCAAUGGGGGCAACCCUGACCGAGCAACGCCGCGUGAGUGAAGAAGGUUUUCGGAUCGUAAAGCUCUGUUGUAAGUCAAGAACGAGUGUGAGAGUGGAAAGUUCACACUGUGACGGUAGCUUACCAGAAAGGGACGGCUAACUACGUGCCAGCAGCCGCGGUAAUACGUAGGUCCCGAGCGUUGUCCGGAUUUAUUGGGCGUAAAGCGAGCGCAGGCGGUUUGAUAAGUCUGAAGUUAAAGGCUGUGGCUCAACCAUAGUUCGCUUUGGAAACUGUCAAACUUGAGUGCAGAAGGGGAGAGUGGAAUUCCAUGUGUAGCGGUGAAAUGCGUAGAUAUAUGGAGGAACACCGGUGGCGAAAGCGGCUCUCUGGUCUGUAACUGACGCUGAGGCUCGAAAGCGUGGGGAGCGAACAGGAUUAGAUACCCUGGUAGUCCACGCCGUANCGAUGAGUGCUAGGUGUUGGAUCCUUUCCGGGAUUCAGUGCCGCAGCUAACGCAUUAANCACUCCGCCUGGGGAGUACNACCGCAAGGNU